AUUCAUUUGAACAACUUUGGGGCAAUUAGAUGUAAACAGAAUUUAUGCCUGCGAAGCUCUUUAAAUGAGGAGACACAGGAGUCAUGAAGCCAGUGGGAGUUAUCAGAAAGGGAUCUGAGAAUGUUUGUGAGAAGUACUUUACUGAGUUAAAAUGUUACGGAUCUAGAUUUAAGUCUGAUAUAUUUAAGAAAUAAACCAAAUAGUGACAAAA